rnacentral:pre_miRNA from 1 species
UCUCUUGAGAGCCAUAUGGAGGAAUUGAAUAGUAUUGUCCUCCAUAGGUCCUCCAGAGUCC